GACGAACGCUGGCGGCGUGCCUAAUACAUGCAAGUAGAACGCACAGUUUAUACCGUAGCUUGCUACACCAUAAACUGUGAGUUGCGAACGGGUGAGUAACGCGUAGGUAACCUGCCUGGUAGCGGGGGAUAACUAUUGGAAACGAUAGCUAAUACCGCAUAAUAUUGAUUAUUGCAUGAUAAUUAAUUGAAAGGUGCAAUUGCAUCACUACCAGAUGGACCUGCGUUGUAUUAGCUAGUAGGUGAGGUAACGGCUCACCUAGGCGACGAUACAUAGCCGACCUGAGAGGGUGAUCGGCCACACUGGGACUGAGACACGGCCCAGACUCCUACGGGAGGCAGCAGUAGGGAAUCUUCGGCAAUGGACGAAAGUCUGACCGAGCAACGCCGCGUGAGUGAAGAAGGGUUUCGGAUCGUAAAGCUCUGUUGUAAGAGAAGAGCGGGUGUGAGAGUGGAAAGUUCACACUGUGACGGUAUCUUACCAGAAAGGGACGGCUAACUACGUG
rnacentral:rRNA from 1 species